rnacentral:rRNA from 1 species
AUUGAACGCUGGCGGCAGGCUUAACACAUGCAAGUCGAGCGAGCGGCGGACGGGUGAGGAAUGUAUGGGAAACUGCCCGGUGGAGGGGGAUAACGACUGGAAACGGUCGCUAAUACCGCAUACCAUCAGAUGUGCCCAGAUGGGAUUAGCUAGUUGGUGGGGUAAAGGCCCACCUAGGCGACGAUCCCUAGCUGGUCUGAGAGGAUGACCAGCCACACUGGAACUGAGACACGGUCCAGACUCCUACGGGAGGCAGCAGUGGGGAAUAUUGGACAAUGGGCGCAAGCCUGAUGCAGCCAUGCCGCGUGUGUGAAGAAGGCCUUCGGGUUGUAAAGCCCUUUCGGUGAGAAGGCGGUACUCAAAGAAUAAGCACCGGCUAACUUCGUGCCAGCAGCCGCGGUAAUAC